UACGUAGGGUGCGAGCGUUGUCCGGAUUUAUUGGGCGUAAAGAGCUCGUAGGCGGUUUGUCGCGUCGGCCGUGAAAUCUCCACGCUUAACGUGGAGCGUGCGGUCGAUACGGGCAGACUUGAGUUCGGUAGGGGAGACUGGAAUUCCUGGUGUAGCGGUGAAAUGCGCAGAUAUCAGGAGGAACACCGGUGGCGAAGGCGGGUCUCUGGGCCGAUACUGACGCUGAGAAGCGAAAGCGUGGGUAGCGAACAGG
rnacentral:rRNA from 1 species